rnacentral:rRNA from 1 species
CGGACGGGUGAGUAACGCGUGGAUAACCUGCCUCACACUGGGGGGAUAGCAGCUGGAAACGGCUGGUAAUACCGCAUAAGACCACAGCACCGCAUGGUGCAGGGGGUAAAAGAUUUUAUCGGGUGUGAGAUGGGAUCCCGCGUCUGAUUAGCCAGUUGGCGGGGUAACGGCCCACCAAAGCGACGAUCAGUAGCCGGCCUGAGAGGGUGAACGGCCACAUUGGGACUGAGACACGGCCCAAACUCCUACGGGAGGCAGCAGUGGGGAAUAUUGCACAAUGGGCGCAAGCCUGAUGCAAGCAACGCCGCGUGAGUGAAGAAGUAUUUCGGUAUGUAAAGCUCUAUCGGCAGGGAAGAAAGGCCCGAAAGGGAGAUGACGGUACCUGACUAAGAAGCCCCGGCUAACUACGUGCCAGCCGCCGC